AGAACGAUGGGGAUGGAGACACUCCUUUGGGUAUACUGGGCCGAGGCCAUUUAGGGCUUUAGUGGUCAGCACCAACACUUUGAAAUGUUCUCAGAAACGUACUGGGAGCCAAUGUAGGUCUUCCAGGACCGGUGUUAUAUGGUCUCGGCGGCCACUCCCAGUCACCACUCUGGCUGCCACAUUCUGGAUUAGUUGUAGUUUCCAGGUUACCUUCAAAGGUAGCCCCACGUAGAGCGCAUUGCAGUAGUCCAAGCGGGAGAUAACGAGAGCAUGCAUCACUCUGGUGAGAUAGUUCUGCGGGCAGGUAGGGUCUCAGCCUGCAUACCAGAUGGAGCUGGUAGACAGCUGCCCUGAACACAGAAUUGACCUGCACCUCCAUGGACAGCUGUGAGUCCAUAAUGACUCCCAGGCUGCGCACCUGGUCCUUCAGGGGCACAGUUACCCCAUUCAGGGCCAGGGAGUCCUCCACACCAGCCCACCCCCUGUCCCCCAAAAACAGUACUUCUGUCUUGUCAGGCUUCAACCUCAAUCCAUUAGCUGCCACCUAUCCUGCAACUGCUUCCAAGCACUCACACAGGACCUUCACCACCAAAUUUGUAUACCACCUCAAACGUGUGGUCACCAGUGCUGAUGUGUCAAGGGCUGCCAAUGUCCUGACGCAGGAUUUUGGCCUUCAUCAGGCUGAUGGUAAGGCCAAACUCCUUGCAGACUUGGACAAAGUGGUUGAUGACUCUCUGUAGAGCCUCCCCAGAGUGUGCUGUCAAGGCUGUGUCAUCUGCAAACAACAUCUCUCGGAUUAGAACCUUCCUCACUUUUGUUUUGGAGCAGAGAAGUGCGAGGUUGACCAGACCCUUGUUGCUCCUUGAAUAGAAAUGCACACCAUCUUCAGUUGAGCUGAGGGCAUAGGAAAAUUAAUAUGUGGGCUCAUUUGAGGAUAGUCCCUGAACCAAGUGGUGCCCUAGGUGAGGAGCAUUUUCAGCAUCACCUUCUGAAUGCCUUAUUUUUACUCCAUUUGUACCCUCUGUUAUGACUUUGAUGAACCAUGUGUAGGCAGGACUUACGCUUCUCAUAUUGGAUAAAACAUUUGUAUGGUAGAACCCAUAUCUCCUUAUUUACCCAUGCCAUCUAGGGUUGCCAUAUUUUGAAGUGCAAAAAAGAGGACACAUUUGCCAACUUCUCCUUUUAACUACGGAUUGCUAUGAUGACUCUCAUUUUAAACAGCCCUACAACAUGUAGGAGGGACGCGGGUGGCGCUGUGGGUUAAACCACAGAGCCUAGGACUUGCUGAUCAGAAGGUCGGCAGUUCGAAUCCCCAUCACGGGGUGAGCUCCCGUUGCUCGGUCCCAGCUCCUGCCAACCUAGCAGUUCAAAAGCACGUCAAUGUGCAAGUAGAUAAAUAGGUACCGCUCCGUUGGGAAGGUAAACGACGUUUCCGUGCGCUGCUCUGGUUCGCCAGAAGCGGCUUAGUCAUGCUGGCCACAUGACCCGGAAGCUGUAUGCCGGCUCCCUCGGCCAGUAAAGCGAGAUGAGCACCACAACCCCAGAGUCGGUCACGACUGGACCUAAUGGUCAGGGGUCCCUUUACCUUUACAAUAUGUAGGCUAUAGAAGCUGUGAUAUAUAUAUAGUAUUAUGAUACAAACAGGUACCUCGAAAUCCAAUAAGAGGGCAAGAAAGAGAAACUUGGCUGAUUCACGCCCCCUCCCCAACCCACACAGAAGAAAUUCUUCUUUUUCUCUCCCCCUCACCCCAAUCAUAUUGACAAAGGAGAAGGAGGCAGCCCAGCAGGAAGGAAGAAACAAAACCCAGACAUUUGGCAAAUUUAAAAAAAUUGCCUGGACAGAAAUUAUACCCCUGAAAAAGAGGACAUGUCCAGAAAAAGAGGACAUAUGGCAACUCUACAUAUGCACGGUUUUUACUCUGUUUCUGCAGCUGAGACUUAGAAAAGCUGAUUUUCCUACCCUUGGCAUCCUGCUUCAGAGCAAUGGGUUUUUAUUUUUAUUUUUUUUAAAUGAUAUUUAUUAAAAUUUCAAAAGAAAAAGAUCACAUUAAUAAGAAAAUUAACAAUAAAAAGGAAAAAUACAAAAUACAAAAUACAAAAAAGAAAAAGCAGUUAAAAACAAUUCCAUCUUUUCAUCACUUCUUUUACAUUUACUUGUUUCCCGGACCUCCUCAUACCUCCCUCUUUUGUAUUCUAAUUCAGUUUGUUAGUCCAGCGAUUCCUUUCCCUCCUUUUUAAUCCUGAUCUUUAAUCUUGAUAUAUUAUAACAUUAAAUUUUUAGAUAUUAAAAACCAAUUUUUCCAUAUUCUUUUGUACCAUUACCGCAUGAAACCACUUAACUUCAAUCCCAGAGCAAUGGGUUUUUAAUGAGAGGGUGUCUAUAUGCUGUUGCGAAAGAAACAGAGAAGCAACUCCUUCACAGAAGUCCUUCACUGACCUUUCUUCUUUGGCAGCUUUGCCAUGGGAACUGGAAUUUUGCCACUUGAACAUCCGAGGGACGGUGAAGAGAAGGGGAUAUUUCAAGACCAAAUUAGGCUUGACUCUGGCAUCUCUCUCAGUUGACUCGGCAAAAGCAUGUCUCUGGAGACGCUGCCUACUUGCUUGAAGUGGCUUGUGUGCUCUUCUUCUCAGACAGUGGUGGCUGGGGUGGCCGUGUGCCCUGUUUUAUAGAAGGCAGUUCUCUAUUUGAAGGCUGUUCGAGGACAAUUCUCUAUUUGAAGCUGUCCUCUGUUCAGACCCAAUCUGGUUUAAAGAUUCUUUUUUCAAAAAAAGAACACCCUAAAGAAGGGAUAACAGGCUUUUGAAAUUUCCUAUCAAAGCCUAGGACUUGCUGAUCAGAAGGUCAGCAGUUCGAAACCUCGUGAUGGGGUGAGCUCCCGUUGCUCGGUCCCUGCUCCUGCCAACCUAGCAGUUCGAAAGCACGUCAAAGUGCAAGUAGAUAAAUAGGCACCGCUCUGGCGGGAAGGUAAACGAUGUUUCUGUGCACUGCUCUAGUUUGCCAGAAGUGGCUUAGUCAUGCUGGCCACAUGACCUGGAAGCUGUACGCCGGCUCCCUUGGCCAAUAAAGCGAGAUGAGCGCCGCAACCCCAGAGUCAGUCACGACUGGACCUAAUGGUCAGGGCUCCCUUUACCUUUUAAAAAGCAGACUGAACACCUGGUCACAGUCUUCCCUGGUAUAGUGAGAAGUAUAUUUUGAUUUAAAUUAUACUAAUUGUUUCUGCACUUGCAUCUCUACAAAUAAAUGAGCAUGCACAUCUCCCCCCACCAUCUGUUUCCUCUUCUUUCUUACUGCUUCAUUCUCUCUCUCUCUCUCUCUCUCUCUCUCUCUCUCUCUCUCUCUCGUAAUAUUUAAGAGUCCACCCUAAUAGGUGGCUCCAGUCCCUGAGUCUAGAGAGAGCUGUAUCUCUCUUUCUCUGUCCCAGUCAUAUGUAUGAGCCACAAGACACACCCCCUCCUCCUCUUCUGCUUCUUUCCUUCCAGUUGGCUUCCUAUGCAAGUCAGGGAUGCACCAGAUUUUGGCUUCAGAAACUGGUUUCAAUAUUGAGGAGUCCAAAAUACAUGAAGGAAAAAGUAAGGACUGGAAGUGCCCCUAUGUGCCAAGUGCAUUUCCCACAGCACUGAGCAAUUUUUCCUACAUAUCUAAGAUUAGGAGGCACAGCUUUCAGCCAAGGGGUGCUGAAUAAACUUAAGUUCAAUCCAGGCAAGACAGACAAGACAGUGGUGGGAGAUUCAGUAGACCAGCUGAUUGGGGAAAUGCCUGGGAUUCCACUCCUUCCCUCUUAAGAACCAGAUUUGGAAUUUCUCCCAAACCCAGGUUGGAUUCCAAAUAGCAUCUGUGGGCAUUGCCCAUGGUGCCUUUUACCAGCUACGGCUGGCAUGCCACCAAAAUCUACUACUGGAAAAAUACUUCGCCUGCAUCACCCAUGUCAUGCUUGCUUUUACUAGCGUUGACUAGCCAGCAUUCCUGGUUCUCGUAAGUUGCGUUUGUAUUCUUGUCCUGCAAGCUCAGAACUCCUGCCCCAAUCUCCUAACUCUGUGAACACCUAGGAGCCCUGACCUCCAGCCACUUAAAAUGGCACUUCAUCAACUGUAAGCAAUAUAAGCAACAAGAAUCAAAUGUGGAAGUUGGAAGUAAAUGUAUGCAAAGGUGUACCAUUUACAUAAUAUGGUAUAAUAUACGGUCCACUUCUCAGUAAUUGUAUGAUGCCCCUCUUCAUAUCAAUAAUGUUAUGAAAGGAGUUACAGUGGUACCUCGGGUUACAUACACUUCAGGUUACAUAUGCUUCAGGUUACAGACUCCACUAACCCAGAAAUAGUACCUCAGGUUAAGAACUUUGCUUCAGGAUGAGAACAGAAAUCGGGCUCCGGCGGUGCGGCAGCAGCAGGAGGCCCCAUUAGCUAAAGAGGUGCUUCAGGUUAAGAACAGUUUCAGGUUAAGAACGGACCUCCGGAACGAAUUAAGUACUUAACCCGAGGUACCACUGUACUCUGAUAAGUGAGCUUGGAUUUCAGAAUUGCAAAACUUUGGGCGUUUAUUUUUUUCCUUCUUGGGGGUGCUGAAAUGUAGAGCUCGUUAUCCUAUUUGAUCUGUCAUAUAUUAAAGGUACUGAAAAUCCUUUCUCCCAGAGUUUGGGAUUAUACAGAAGUUUUGGACAAUCUUUAAUAGCAGAUGGCAGUGAGGUGGCCCUAAGUGCAGGUUGUUUUAUAAACUUUGUAACUUUGCUCCUUAGCAGAAAGAACAUGUUCUCAAGACUCCCCGCCUAAAGUUCCAUUCAUGUGCAACAAAAGACUCGACAAUUAAAUACAAUUUGGCUUUCAUUACAGGCUUUCUGCUCCUCCCUUUGUGCCAGAAAUUCACUUGCCUUCCUUACUGUAAAAGCAGUGGAGCAUAAGUUCCAUUUGUUUGCUAUUCUUGCAUGUUUCCCUGUGCAAAAUCGCCUUUAUUUAUUUUUACUUUAAAACGUUCUGUGAGAAAACCACUCCUCUUACUAUAAAGUGCUGCCCACUGAAACUUAACCCUUUGAAGAAUACAAGAUGGCAGCUAUCGUGCCAAUUAGCAAGGAAAAGCUAAUGCUCUUCUAGGCUGAAUCAACAGUAGUAUCAAGGGAAGUCACAGAACCACUCUGUUCUGGCUUGGUCAGACCACACCUGGAAUACUGUGUCCAGUUCUGGACACCACAAUUUAAGAAGGAUGUUGACAAGCUGGAACGUGUGCAGAGGAGGGCAACCAAGAUGAUCAGGGGUCUGGAAACCAAGCCUGAUGAGGAACAGUUGAAGGAUCUGGGUAUGCUCAGCCUGGAAAAGAGGAGAAUGAGAGGAGAUACGAUAGCCAUCUUCAAAUAUCUUAAUGGCUGUCACAUGGAAGAGGGAACAAACUUGUUUUCUCCAGCUCCAGAGAGUAGGACUCAAACCAAUGGCUUCAAGUUACAGGAAAGGAGAUUCCGACUAAACAUCAGGGAAAACUUCCUGACAGAAAGAGCUGUUCAACAGUGGAAUGGACUCCCUCAGGAGGUUGCAGACUCUCCUUCCUUGGAAGUUUUUAAGCAGAGGUUGUCUGGCCAUCUGUCAUGGAUGCUUUAGCUGAGAUUCCUGCAUAGUCCAUUGGUUGGACUAGAUGACCCUUGGGUCCCUUCCAACUCUACAGUUCUAUGAUUCUUGGCAGAGGGGCAUUGACGCUUUUGAGUAGCACAAAGCCCUUCAUUAGACAAAGUGGGAGAAUACUAAUUCCUGGUUCCCUAACAGUUCAUGUAAUGCAUGGAUCAAUGGUUAAAGGCUGUUGUUAAUGCCCCAAAGGAAUGGAUCAGCUACAAAUUUUAGGCUCAGUUUGUUUUGUAUCUGAAAUACCAGAGGUUUAGUAACCAUCAGGUCACAGCUGAGUAAAGCACUGCAGCCAAAUUGUGUUGUGAUGUAUGAAAAAGUGAGUCACCAGGACUGCAAAUCUCUCUUUCUCUCUCUGUCUCUGUCUCUCUCUCCCCCUCUCCCUGUCUCUCGUAUUCCAGCUUCUUCCCUGAAACCUCUUGUCUUAGCUCUCAUAAGAGGCUCUCAGCCCUGCAUUUCUGCCUCUUAGAAAUAUGGGUUCCUGGAACAAGUGUAGCCAGACUGCCCGGAAUCACUCUGCUUUCCACUGUUGUGACUCAAGUCACUGACCACAAGCCAACCAGGAAUUCAAUGUGCUUAAGUCCUGUGCACCUGACUGUGGACAGCGAAUAUACAGUACAUACACUCCUGCUACUACUGUGGUUUAACACCAAGUUAGUUAAUUCCUUGCCAUCCUUCAACUUCUAUUUCUAGUGAGGUUUACGAACUGGUAUCAUGUGAUUUGAAGCCAACAUCAAUUUCAGUUUCUUCUUCCUUUUCCUAAUCUGUUUUUGGGCACCGUCCUGCUUCAUUCACUUUGCUGGCAACAGACUAUGAAAGAUCGUCCUUGAGGAGCAAGAGACUUCAAGACUUGCUUCCUUGUACUUAGGUUUGCAGCAACCCAUUUCCCCUCCUUUUUGAACAUUUGUUACACAUUUCUAGAAUUCUAAUUGUGUUCUAAAGUAAAACUGACAAACCACUUUCUGAGGUUAUAUUACGCCAUCACAAAGGGUUUUGGGUUGGGCAGUAGAGUUUCAAGAGCACUUUGACUUGAAGAAAUGUGCAAAAUCACUGACAAUGGCUCUUUUCUUUUUUAAAGCAGAGGUAAGCUGGAGAUUUAAGAGGAUCAGCAUCCUUAAAUAGCUCUGUCUUGGUGGCAAAGAGCAGUGUGUGCUUUGCCUCCUCAGGAUCAAAUACACCUGAGGAAAUUUCUUUCUGCUUUCAGAGCAGAUGUGCUGGGGCCAAAUUUGCCAACGGCAUCAUUUUGUGCUUCUAGGAAACUGUCUAGAUCACAUCAGAAUACAGUGGUAUCUCGGGUUAAGAACUUAAUUCGUUCCGGAGGUCUGUUCUUAACCUGAAACUGUUCUUAACCUGAAGCACCACUUUAGCUAAUGGGGCCUCCUGCUGCCGCCGCGCCGCCGGAGCAUGAUUUCUGUUCUCAUCCUGAAGCAAAGUUCUUAACCUGAAGCACUAUUUCUGGGUUAGCGGAGUCAUUAACCUGAAGUGUAUGUAACCUGAAGCGUAUGUAACCAGAGGUACCACUGUAGAAGAAACGUUACAUGUAUACCAGCUUUGUAUAUAACUGGACUCAAUACCUGGAAGCCCAUAAGCUUGGCCCCACAGGAGUUUCCUAUGCCCCCUAGUGCAAUGAAAGAGUGCAGCCAGGAGGCAGUUUGGUCUAACUAACUUGAGUAGCUUCUUGAGUCUAAUAAUAGUGUUUGACAAGAGGCUCAAGUAACUAGAUGCCAUGUGCAGCUUCUGACCUGUGUUGCACCCUGGAUCUGCAAGGGGCAAUGGGAUCAUAAACAGUAGCAUUGACUCUGAAGGAUUCAAACAUGUUUAGAGAAGAAUAAGUUGCAGUAAGUUCAACAGACGUUACAUCCCGUUUGUGUGUAUACAAAUAUUUCUGUAAAGCUUUUCCACGCCAAGUGUCUACAAAUUAUGGUGGUAAAGUAGUUAAAGGGACUGUUUACUCUGAAUAAUUUCUCCUGGGAUCAUAGCAGCACUAGAAAUUCACCUAAAACGAUUGGCUGGUUAAUUCAAAUCUGCACGUGAAAUGCAACAAACAUUUCACAUCUCCUUUGGUCAAUGUAUCCCCCUUUGGAUUUUCGGCUGCAGUUCUUUCACAUAUAUACAACCCCCUUUUGCAAAUGAACAGCCCCACUUAGAAGCAAAUGUGUGCUCUACCACUACAGUCCAAAAAGACAAUUACAGUGGUACCUCGGGUUAAGAACUUAAUGCGUACUGGAGGUCCGUUCUUAACCUGAAACUGUUCUUAACCUGAAGCACCACUUUAGCUAAUGGGGCCUCCUGUUGCCACCGCGCCGCCAGAGCACGAUUUCUGUUCUCAUCCUGAAGCAAAGUUCUUAACCCAAGGGACUAUUUCUAGGUUAGUGGAGUCUGUAACCUGAAGCGUAUGUAACUUGAAGCGUAUGUAACCCAAGGUACCACUGUAGUGUGGGAUCUCUCCUCCCCACCACCACCUUGAAUCCUUCCUACAAAAGCCAAGCAAAAAUAAUCUCUUAGGAAGAAAUUGCCCUGGUAAACAAGAUAACCAAAUGGACAGCUGUGGAAAGCUGAAGAACAAGUGAGCAAUGUCUAACAACCCUUUGUAACAGGCUCCUAAAAUGGAAACAAAGUCAGAUACAUUAUUGAUGGGGGCUUGCAUAAGCAAACAGAUACAGUGACAAACACCAGGACCUCCUCAACCAUUCCUGAUAAAGGGGCCCAUCAGUUUAGCAGAGGGGGAAAUAUCAUCGGAACAGAGCUUUUACAUCUUAGAAGCCGAACAGCUUAUCUUUGAGUCAUUCUGAACAUUCUUUUUUAAAAAAAUAAGAAAUAAUGAAUGGAAAUAAGUUGCAUAUCACAGAAGACAUGACGGUGAUGCUCUAAAUGCACUUGCAGAGUCUCUCUUGUUUUUAAAGCCAGAGUGCUCUGACUGCUUACACCACAGGAUUCCCAGUGCUUUGUAGACAGGCAGAGGAUGUAUACAGCUGCAGUUCUAAGAACUGUUAUGCUUUCCCCAGUUUCUUGAGCAGUGAGAGGUUCAUAAAAUCUUAGAAUUGUAGGUCUCCAACUACUUUGGACUACAGUUCCCUUCAUCUCUGACCAAUGGUCUUGCUAGCUAGGAACGAUGGGAGUUGUAGUCCAAAAACAGCUGGAGACCCAACUUUGGGAAACACAGUUCUAUUCCAAUGCAGGAAUAUGGGGUACUGCUGUAGGAUUAAGUCUUGUUUGGAUUAUUAUUAUUAUUUAUUGACUUUACAUGCUGCCCUAAACUAGGAGGUCUCAGGGCAGUUCACAGAAUAAAAUCAGAAUAUAAAACCACAAAAUACAUUAUCAAUUUUAUAAUAUUUUAUUUGUAAAUACAGAAAUUGGGGAACAAGGAAAGCAGCAAACAAAUAACUAGAUAAUUAUGAUAAUUUAUGAAGAGUUACAAUACUUAAUUACCUAGCAUUCUCUACGGCCUGUUCUAUACAAACAGGCAAGUGAAGGGGGUCAUGUAUGAUGUAGUUGAAUGGACCAUUUCACCCUACAGGUAAGAGAAUCACAUUUAUAAAUGUCCCAUACAUUAAACACACACACCCCUCUGCAAGUAGAAAACCGUCACAGCAAGAAAUGGUUUCUCCUGAAGAGGCGAAUUCUGCAUCAUCAUGAGGUUUUAUUGAUCCAUUCACUUUAUUAACUUAUUCAUUGCCUCAAUUAUCCUUCAUGUGUAGAACACAGAAUCAUAGAAUCACAGAACUGUAGAGUUGGAAGGAAGGAGAGUUCACAACCUCCAGAGGGAGACCGUUCUACCGACGAACAGCUCUUACUGUCAGAAGGUUUUUCCUGAUGUUUACUUGGACUCUCUCUUCUUGGAGCUUGAAGCCACUGGUUCGAGUCCUACCUUCCAGAGCAGGAGAAAACAAGGUCCUAAACAUCUGAAGGAGAACAGGCUGGGGGUGGCUGACUUAGCAAUUGCUUGGGGUUCCAACAGGUUAAGGCUUUCAGUCAUCCCAGUGAGAAUUCUCAACACUACGGUUUGCCACGCAAGCCCCAAACACAUGUGUUUAAACUAGAUCUAUGUGCAGUAGCCCAGAGAUGGAAAGAGGAGUCCACCAUCACCCAGGGGAGACCAUUCCACUAUCAAACAGAUCUUACUGUCAGAAAGUUCUUCCUGAUGUUUAGCCAGACUCUCCUUUCUUGUAACUUGAAGCCAUUGGUUCGAGUCCUAUCCUCCAGACCAAGACUAUAUAAUAACAACACUGUAAUAAUGAAGCAGACAGAGUGGCUUACCUAAUGUCACCUAGUAAGUUUACAGCAGAGAUUCAAAGAGGAACUUCCUGGUUCCUAAGCGCUAUAAUGCAUAUAUCAGUGUAGUGUGUACAUGAAAUCAGUGCUAGGAUCAGUAUUUUGUCAGUAUGUACUUGGUAAAAAUGUUGUUGCCUUCAUCUGGCUUACAAAGGGUCAGGGUGCUGGACAUUUUUAAGAAUAUUGAGGAAGCUGAAUUUGUUGGAUUGAUUAAGCAUCUCAGGUUGUAAUAGCAGUACCAUUGUGCACAGAGCAGCUUGUGCUGAUGUUGCUCAAGAGAUAGGCGAGUACUUUAGGCAAGAGGCAGCUAGCAAGGGGUGAAGGACAAUAAUCUGGUGGCCCUGGAGACUUGGUGUCCUAUCUCAGUGAUAUUGCCCAAACUGAGGAAAGGUAGUGGAUCUUGGGAAUCUUUAUAUCAGCUGGUGGAAUCUGGUUGGUCUUCAAGGGUUACCUGAUUUCCUAGGUCAGGAAGAUUGUGGACUGUUAUCUGAAUGCCCCAACUGGAACUGCCUGCACUUACUUCUCUAAUCUGAUCAGCCACCUGGUCACACCAGGAGCCAUUGUCUCAUUUGCAGGGCAUGGUUAGAGAUGGAUUAGACCCAUGUCAGAAUCCCCUCUCAGCCAUGAAGUUUACAGAGUGACCUUGGACCAAUCACUACCACAUGGGAGGUGGGGAUCAGAAAUCCAAGCAUACCGUCCUGAGCCCUUAGAGGAAGUGGGGGGUGGAUAUGAAUUUUUUAUUAUUUAUAUCUCACUUUUCUCUUAAAAAACUGAUGAAGUGGAUUACAAAUAAAAUAAAAGGUAGACAGUUAAAAACAGCAGUCAGAUUAAAAGCAUAUAACAGCAGAAUCACGAACAUAAAUCGAACACUAAAAGCACACUGAAUUAUUUUUAUUAUUAUUAUUGCAGCAGCAGCAGCACUAUCCUUAUGGCCUUUUCAUAUUUCUCUUCACCCAAGGCUUUUAAAUAACUUGUCCUUCCAGUUCUUAAAUCUGUGUUUUAACUUUGGGGUUGCAAUGAGUUUUGUUUUCUUAUAUUUAUGUUGCUUUUGAGUUUAUAGGUUUAUGUUUUAUUUUGAAUUUAAAUGAUUUUAUAUCAAAGCUGCCUAGAAAACUUUAUUAUGAAGCAACAUACAAAUACUACUAAUAAAAUAAAGUACAUCAUAAUGAAUUCUUCAUUAUGAGCCCAGCUUGGCAACUGAAAUGACAGGAGUACAUUCUAAUGAAUCAAAUGCUGGAUUAAUCAUUUGUCACGCCCUUUCAUAAUGCUUUAAGCUGUUUAUUUGCCUCUCUUCAUUUCUAAAAGAUCUGAACUAACACGGAUCCAUUCUUUCAUCACCUUUAUUGGGUUAAAACAACAACAACACUCUGAACUUUUUUAAAAAGUGCAAAACCAUACUAGAGUUUGAGAUUUCCUGGGGACACACAAAGAGCAGCAGAUCAAUGCGGUGCUAAGCCAGCAGCUGCAUCAAACCUGCAAGAACUGCUUUUCUUCUUCUUCUUCAGAGGAAAAGGAAAACUGGGAGAGAGAAUGGCAAUAGGAGAUAAGACACAGGACCAGGAUGAGCCAAGGUGGGGUGGCCCACCUUACAAUUUUUGUUGGCAGCAGUGAUUGCAGCCCACUGAGGACAUGGUGGGCAAGGAUUCCUUCUUGUAUGGCCAGCUGACUCCAUCACUGUCCUCAGCCAGUUGCAGGAGUCAAUGAGAUUUCCCACCAAAAUCUAAAUUUGAAUUGGCCAAUCAGGGUCUUUUUGAGAGGCGGGGCUCUGGGGUUGGACCAGGUGAAGUUAGUCUUUGCUCAGGUCUGGCUCCACAGCAAAGAGCGCAGUCAGCAUGAUUUAGUCAUUAGGCAGCACCAGAUUUGGUUGUAUCUGGGUAGAGUCAGUGGUUUCCUGCUCCUCUUUUCUUGCCCAAGAGAGAUAAUAAUAUUACUGUCCUUUAAGUCUUCCACGACACAGAACUCAGGUUGCAUUUGCUUAUAUUUGCAAGUGUAUAACUCAUGAAAGCACACUAAAGUCUUUCGAAAAGGAACUGGAAAAGUAAGCCAAUGUGAUUUAAGACAACUGCAGACAUGAGCCAAAAGAACGAAGCGUAUGAAACAUAAAGGAGCAAGAGAGACACAUAAACGUUUAGAAAAUGACUCACCUCGUCCUGAUUUGUCAUUGAACAGUGACUUUAAUGUUAAUACAUUUUACAAUCAACCGGCAAAAUGUUCAACCAAUGCUGGGAAUGUGUUUGGAAAUGUGGUCAUAAAGAAGGGGUGGUAGGGGUGAGCAAGUAUCAACCCAACUCCAUCUUUCCAUUCCUUUGUUGCUGUUUCUUCCAUUGCUUCAGAUUCUCACAUCUGCCAUUUCCUCAUCUGCACUCGUUCCUCAACUAUCUCCUCCUCUUCCCUUUUAUUUCUCUUCUGCUGCAGAGCAUUCUUGCGGUCCGAUGAAUGAAACGUUCAGCAACGUUUUUAAAUCUUGGAGGACAUGCCCCUGCUUCUCUAGAUCUUAGGUCAUUUACCUAUUAGCAGCUUCAACCACAGUGAAGCCAUCUCCCCCUGCUGUCCUUCAAGUUGCAUUCACAUGCUGUUGUGCACACCAAAGUUGGGGGGUGUCUUCAUUCAAAGCAGCUCCCACCACUCAACUCCUGUUCAUGAAGCUUCCAUAAGCACAGGGACAGUAGCUGCCUUAAAUGUACACGUCUCGGCUUAACUGUGAGGGCAAUGUGGCUUAUCUUUUCAAAUUGGAUGGAACCUGGUUUGAGGGAAAAUAUAUUAAACAGCGAGGGACGUGGGUGGCGCUGUGGGUUAAACCACAGAGCCUAGGACUUGCCGAUCAGAAGGUCGGCGGUUCGAAUCCCCGUGAUGGGGUGAGCUCCCAUUGCUCGGUCCCUGCUCCUGCCCACCUAGCAGUUUGAAAGCACCUCAAAGUACAAGGAGAUAAAUAGGUACCGCUCCGGCGGGAAGGUAAACAGCGUUUCCGUGCACUGCUCUGGUUCGCCAGAAGCAGCUUAGUCAUGUUGGCCACAUGACCUGGAAGCUGUACGCUGGCUCCCUUGGCCAGUAAAGUGAGAUGAGCGCUGCAACCCCAGAGUCGGUCACAACUGGACCUAAUGGUCAGGUGUCCCUUUACCUUUACCUAUAUUAAACAGCAGUGUUUCUCAAGAAACUACAGGAUAGAGGUGGAUUGUGUGCAUGGCUGGGGAAACUCAGCCAGAUGGGCGGGGUAUAAAUAAAUUAUUAUUAUUAUUAUUAUUAUUAUUAUUAUUCAAAUGGCAGCAGUGGGAGCGCACUGGAGCCAGAGUAAAUGGUCAUGUGUACACAGCCCUAGGUGGUAAACAUGGUGGUGGUUGUUCACCUGUGUAUGUUCAAAUGUAUUGCUGACUCUUUGCUUCUGCUGCUGCUAAGCCUAGCAAUCAUUGCCCCUUGCCUUAGCACAAAGUGAAUUGGUUGCUAGGCAUGCAAAUGGGUCAGAGAUGAGGGUGAGGAUUAGAACACUAGUUUCUGAUUUCACAAAGGCACUGACAUACAUUCUAUAAUUUACCAUGUCCAGGUGCCACUCAAUAGGGAAUGGUUCUGUUCCUAAUUAAUCACUGUGCUUAAGGUGUCCUCAUUUUACCUUUUGGGCAGAUCUAGCGAGCGGGAGCUGCCUUUUCUGCUUUUAAAAAAGGUAUACAUACAAAUGCACUAUUUUGUAUUUAUAACCUCCCAUGAGUUUAAGGUGAUGUACUUGGUUCUCCUCGCCCACUAGAAUUCCCAGUAUUGAGGCUUCUACUUCAACUUGCAAGAGGUUAAAUCUCUAGAAAAUCUCAAGUUUCUAGAUGAAGUUGGAUAUGGAUGCCUCUCUAGAUAGUAAGUUCCAUGUAAUUGAGUUGGAUUGGGGGUGGAGGUUGAAAAUAAAACAGGAGAAAAUAAAAAGUUUGUGGUCAGUUUAUUAACAGAACAUAACCUGCCAAAACAAACAGCCUUCAACAAGAUGGAACAGGGUGGGUGUGAGAAGACUGAUGCCAGGCAGAGAUCUUUGAUGUGAGACAGGCUUCACCAACCUGGUGCCCUCCAGUGGUUUUGGAUUGUGGGUUGGGGCUGAUGAAAGUUGCAGUCUAGAUCAUCUAGAAGGCACCAGGUUGGUGUAAGGCUGGUGUAAAACAACCAUGUCCCUUUCUUCAGCUGUGAAAUGAUGGGUGGUAAGCACUAAUGUCUUCCAAGAGAAAGCUAUGCUAUCCCCAUGUUCCCAGUACUGAUGGGGAAUGAGACGGCUCUCUCCAAAGGGAAAGGCUGUUUUCCCCAUCACUCUCAGCUUUCAGAUUGUACCUCUCCCACCUGAACUGGCAAAGCAGGAAAGGAGGAAUUGGUCGUUAUAUAAGAUUUGGCCCUAGGAUUAAAAUUUGAGAUACUGUGCAUUGCACAAGACUACACAGUGAGCUUCAAGCCUGAGCAGGGAUUCAAUAAUGAUGUUGUUGUUGUUGAUAAUGAUAAUGAUAAUGAUAAUGAUAAUGAUAAUAAUAAUAAUAAUAAUUAUUAUUAUUAUUAUUAUUAUUAUUAUUAUUUAUUACUUAUACCUUGCCCAACUGGCUGGGUUUCCCCAGCCACUCUGGGCGGCUUCCAACAAGAGAUUAAAAACACAUUAAAACAUCAGUCAUUAAAAAUUUCCCUAAACAGGGCUGCCUUCAGAUGUCUUCUAAUGUCUUCUAAACAUCAGAUAGUUGUUUAUUUCUUUGACAUCUGAUGGGAGGGCAUUCCACAGGGCAGGCACCACUACCGAGAAGGCCCUCUGCCUGGUUCCCUGUAACUUGGCUUCUCACAGUGAGGGAACCGCCAGAAGGCCCUCGGUGCUGGACCUCAGUGUCCGUGUAGAACGAUGGGGGUGGAGACGCUCCUUCAGGUAUACUGGGCCGAGGCCAUUUAGGGCUUUAGAGGUCAGCACCAACACUUUGAAUUGUGCUCAGAAACGUACUGGGAGCCAAUGUAGGUCUUUCAAGACCAGUUUUAUGUGAUCUCGGCGGCCGCUCCCAGUCACCAGUCUAGCUGCCGCAUUCUGGAUUAGUUGUAGUUUCCAGGUCACCUUCAAAGGUAGCCCCAUGUAGAGCACAUUGCAGUAGUCCAAACGGGAUAUAACUAGAGCAUGCACCACUCUGGCAAAACAGUCCAUGGGCAGGUAAGGUCUCAGCCUGUGCACCGGAUGGAGCUGGUAGACAGCUGCCCUGGACACAGAAUUGACCUGCGCCUCCAUGGACAGCUGUGAGUCCAAAAUGACUCCCAGGCUGCACACCUACUCCUUUGAGUUGAGUUCCCAGAUUCCUAGUCCCAGUUGAGCUAAUGAAGGAUGGCAUACUGUCUCACCAAAGCCUCUGCUGCAGCCUGGUGGAAUAGCUCCUAACAAGACACAGUUUCAGAAGAGGUGGAGCCAAAAUGGCAGAUGGUCCCGGCUGAGUAGGUGAAUUAUUAUAUUUGGCUAAAUAGAUCAAAUGAGUCCAGAAUACCACCCUGCAUGACAUUUUGGACCUGAACCCCCAAGGAAAAACUGGCCAGCUGCCAGCACAGCAUCUCAACUGGCUGGUACUGCAAUAGUUGCCUCAGAAACAGGGAUGGUAGAGGGUGUGAGCAGCUGAAUCGCUGUUGACAAGAACCUUUGCUCCAUUGCCAAUGCAACAAAACCCAGUAAGACCCAGGGAUCUUGCUGGUAUGGUUUAGGGGGUUGACAGGAUGCAAGAUUUGCAGCACUGUAAACAGACAUUGAAAGUUGGGUUGUUGGAGGUUCGGUUUCCACAGCUCCUUUGACUAGAUGGGAGAGGAUACAUGGGGAACAGGAGCUGACCAGAUUGCUUUAAACAAAUCACUCCAAAGAUUAAUGAAAAGACAAGUAUUUCAAUUAGCUUUGGGUCAGGCCCCAGGAUAGAUUACUCAAUGUCAGUGGCAAACCUUGGGAAUUAAUCAUGAAAUGUAAAUCAUGUCCCGAAAUUGUGACAAGCAUUUAAACAAUAAAUAAACCUGACACAAUUUAAAGCUUGAUCGUUGAAGACAAGCCAAGUCUCUGAUACAUCUUGUCUUUCCCAGAAACAAAUUCGUAAUAUUACAUUAGUCAAUGAAUUCUGCAAUGUCACUGAAAUUCAAGGCUGACAACAAGCAAUACAACAGAAGGUGCCUGAAAAAUUGCUUCCAUAGCAAGUGGGCAUCUGUGCCAAGCUGUUGUCCUCCCUUCAGUACAUCUGUUAGUCUGGAAAAACUGCCAGGAGUUGAGUUUAUCAGAACUUGUGCAAGCCAAUCAUAAACCUCUGUAAAUCUACUUUAAUGCAACAACAGCAAAGAGUCAUGUGGCACCUUAAAAGUUAACAGAUUUAAUGCAAUGACCUUUCCUUACAAGUUGGCAGAGAGGGAAAGAUUUGCUUAAGAUGCACAGCAUAAAGUAUGCAAUGGAAACUUUCUCCGAUAAUUUUGUUCUGCACAGACUCUGGAUGAAGUGUUAAAUCAUUCUUGAUUACUUUGCAGUAGGAAAGGAAAAGCAGGAUUUGUAUGCAUUGGCUUUCUACGGUCUUAGCUCUGUAAAUUGCUGGCAGGGGUACCAACUCAAGCAGGGGUAUCAACUCAAAUAAAAUAUGGGGGGCAGGUAAGCCCCACCCUGCUUAAUCGAUCACAUGAUGUGGUGCAUGCACACCAUUUGAAUGGCAAUGCUCAUCAGCUUUGGGGGGCCUGGCCCCCUCAAAUAUUUUAUUGGGGGCCCCAAAGACCCCUUUGCCCCUAGGAGUUGGCUCCUAUGUGUAAAAGCAUCUAAGGCUGUGUAAUAACAACAACAACAAC
rnacentral:lncRNA from 1 species